rnacentral:lncRNA from 1 species
AACAAAGAAUGUCAGAGCAUUGCUAAGCUUCUACAUUGCCAUAAAACAUAUAUUUAUACCUAAAGGAGUCACUUUACCAAAUCUUUUUUUCAAAUUAUAAUAGGCAACCAGUUCUUGAAUAUCACCCCACACUGUCUGUUUGAAUUAAUUAUAUCUUUGGAAUUGAUCUUAAAGUAUAAAGACAAUGAAGCAAAGAAGAGACAAGCAAGGAAAACAAAAAGUGUGGACACCUGGGCCAUGGUCAUCAACUAACCCCCGAACAAGAAGCAAAAGCAGCUGCCUGCCUGUGGACCACAGAAAAUGUUACAACAAGGAGUAUCCUAGUAAACUGGAGGUUGAGGAUGAAGAGUAACCUUGAUACAAAGCCUUUGGCAGUUUUCAUGGUGUAAAUUAUCCUGCCACAGUUAUGAAGCUGCCAACAGAUUACUGCCCUGCUGACCACAUUCCUGAAUAUUUAUCAGUUAACUCCAGUAAGCCAACACCAGCCCCACAUCACUAGAAGGAACUAUGGUGUAUAUGAUUCCUUGUUUCCAUAUUAAUUUAAUGUUUUGAGUUUAUUGUCCUUGUUUUGAGAAUCCAUUGUGUAACAAGGCGGGGGCACUGUUGAAGGAAUGUCAAAGCAUAUACAAUUUAAGGUCAAGCCCUCUCUUCUUGGAGUUUAUAGUCUAGAUGCAAGUUCAGCAACAUGUAAGACAGAAGGAAAAAUCUUUCAGAAAACAACACACUUCGAAGUUCAAAUUAACUCAAAGCAAGUUAACAUGUAAGUUCCUAAGACAGGGAAAAUGAGCAUAUCAGCCCAUCUCUUAGGGUGGCUGAAAAGCCUAAAUGAGAUCUCACAGGAGAAGACUCUUGGUGAGUUACAGGCCACUAAAGAAAUAGAAAGGAUCAUUCUUCUUAGAGUGCAGUGAGACUAAUCUGACAAGGCAGUAUUUGGGUUCCCAGAACAUGGUAAUUGAUAAUGACAAGGUCAAAGAUGGGAAGGCCUGGGGAUACUGGGAAGAGCAAGCAGCAAACAGAGCCCGCUGACCUCAAAGGCGCUGGAGUGAACUGUGUUCACAGAGCCAAAUUGUUUCCUACGACACCACUGCUGCUGUUUCUCAUUCCAUUAAUUAUACAAUAGGGACCAAGAUUUUAACUUUACAAAUGCUCAAAAAUCUUCAUCUGUCUGCACAACUGUUCUCAAAGGCUACUUUAAGGAUAUCUAGGAUUAAUAUCUAAAUGAUCUUCAGAAUAGCGCUUUCCAAAUGCAUCAUUGAUCAGUAAAUUAGAAGCAUGGUCUUUAAGACUGGAUUCAAACUCUGCCCCUGGCUCACUGUGUGCCAUGUGAAAGUACUGUAACUUAAACUCCUGGAGCCUCCAUUUCCUCAGUAAAUGGAGAAAGGUAAUAUUUAACUCAUAGUAUCAUUUUUCAGGUUAAACAAACUAAAGAAUAUAAAUCAUCUAGUACAAUGCCUAGAAUAUAGUAAAAAUUCAAUGCUUGAUACAUGCUAUUUUUAUUCAUUUUUGAAUUGUCACGUUCAAAAUUGGAAUUAAAAUUCUAAAUUAAAUGGUGAAGAAAUUAUAGGCAAUUCCAUUAGUUUUUGCACUUGUCUUUAAAUAGGAAAUCAGCUAUUAUUCUUGCUUUUUGCCACUCUGAGUAUCAAUUUUACCUUAAGUCUGACUUCUUGUGAAUGAAAAUCAGUUCGGUAGUAGCCAGAAAACUGUGUGAUACUUCAUGCACAUCCAAUGUGGGAGAGGAGAAGGGAGAUAGACACACACACACACACACACACACACACAGACACAGACACACACAUAAUGAAGAGAAAAGAAGAAUCCUGAUAUUCCAGUAAAUGUGCUCUCCUAACAGAUUGUACGAUCAUCCUGAGGCCCCUAUAUCCAGAGGCUUAGGAUACGCUAGUUGAAUGGAGUUGGAAUGUUUGGGAAAUUAGAGGGCCAGGUGGAAAGAGGAGCAGGCUGUGUAUGGAUAAUUGGCAUGUAACUCCACAUAGUCUCAAGAACAUUUCUCUAUUCAUCUGUUGACCCUAAAUUUUAUGGUACAGGCCGCUCAACAAUAUCCUUGAUUUGAACUUUCACUACUUGGAAUUCUGCCCUAUUGUACUAAAACAUGAAGAUGGCUACUUCCCACUGUUGCUCUUGGAUUUUUUUACCUCCAUAAAAAUGGUACAAGAAGACAAAUUUUCUUAUAAGCAAAAUACUUUACAAACCUCUAUAUGUUUGUUAGUCCGCUUUUCAUCACUAUAACAAAAGACCUGAUAAUACUGACUUAAUGGAAGAAGGGUUUAUUUUGGCUCAGUGUUUCAGCCCAUGGUUGGCUGGCUCCAUUGUUAGAGGUGGUAGUGAGGCAGGGCAUCGUGGAUGAAAGCUGAAGCAGAGAAAAGCUGCUCGCUCACCUCUUAGCAGCCAAAAAAGCCAAGAGAAAGGUGAAGAGUUCAAAGCCUCUGCUAGGAGGUGUCCUUCUUCUGCUUUUGUUCCAUCCAAGGGCUCAUCCUACUGCAUGGUGCUGCACCCAUCCAGGGUGGGCCUCUUCCAUCAGUUUGCUGGCUCACAUGCCAAUUAUGUCUAGAAAUAUUUUCAUAGAUACAUACAAAAGUAGGCUUUCGUAAUUUCUUCCGUGUUUUUCAAUCUAAUCAAAUUAAAAAUUCAGAUUAACUGUUGUUAUUGGGAUUUUGCUGUAUUGUUUUGUUAUAUUGGGGAUUGAAUGUAGAGCCU